UCACUUUCAACAACGGACCUCUUGGCUCUCGCAUCGAUGAAGAACGUAGCGAAGUGCGAUAAGUAAUGUGAAUUGCAGAAUUCCGUGAAUCAUCGAAUCUUUGAACGCAAAUUGCACACUCUGGUAUUCCGGAGAGUAUGCCUGUUUGAGGGUCAGUU
rnacentral:rRNA from 1 species